AUGUCAGAAGUCAUUCCAUUCUGGCGACGUGUCGUAUGUACAAGCGCCAUGUGCUUCUGUGUGCUUUUAGAACAAGAAGAGAUCAACUUCGGUUUCACCAAACUAUGUAAAGGGUCCCGCAAGCUUUUUAGUGCAUGUCUCUUUUUCACAUCCAUAUAUAUGAUCUUGGGUUUUAUGGGCAAGCCAACUAGACAGUGGGUCGUCCUCGUCCGUCCAUAUUCAUAGCCUCAUAGGGUUGGUUUGUUUGGUGUGUGA
rnacentral:lncRNA from 1 species